rnacentral:lncRNA from 1 species
GCCCGCACCGCCACCAGCCGUCAUUCCCCGCCCCGCCGGACCGGGGCCGCCUCCGUCUAUGGGUCGUCGCCGGGGCGAGGCCUGAACGGGCCCCGAACGCCCGGAGCCGCGAUGGGAGUGGCCGUGGGCUGAGCCCUCACCCAGGCCCUGUGGCAGCACCCGGUGGGGAUCAAGAUGGAGCUGUGAGAGGAGGCCGGCGCAGGAUGGCGAAGCUGCUGGUGCCGCUGGUGGUGCUGGGGGCGGUGGCUCAGCGUUGCCCCCCGCGCUGCCUCUGCCCCG